AGCCACACACCUUUUUUGCAAUAUUGAUAAUCAAAAUGCAGUUGCUCUAACAAAUCUGGAUCUAUUGUUGGUUUGGUUACAUCUCAGCUUGGAGCCAGGAUUAACUCCUACAAAUUUUUCUUAAGCUCCCAGAAAACAGCAGCUGCGCGCCAUUUCCAAGCUCACCAAAAUACCACCUAAUUAAUGAUGUGCUUGACGAAACAAGUCCAAAAAUCACCCACAGUUUACAUCCUAGACGAAUUUGAGAUGGCGCAACGCGAGCUCAGAUCGAUCCCACUACAGAUGCAAUAAGAGUGGUUACACAUGAGAGGAACUACAGCAACAAGAGUUAGAAAGAUUCAGUCAACUAGAGUUAGUUUGCAGGGUCGGUAGUUCUUCCUACGACAUUUCACCUUCCCGGUCACCAGCUUUGCAUCACCACCUUGUGAGGACAGAGCCUUCGGACUGCUGGAAGUCAGGCCUGCAGCAGGAUCACUGUUAGCAUCUUUCUGGCAAGGCCACUGUUAACUCCAAAUGCUAGGAAUUUGUCGCAACACUUGCAUUGAUAUGGAUUUUUUGCAUGAUAAAAAACACAACUGUAAUGACAAGAAUGGCGCUGAUGUUGGAGGGUGAGGACAAUUCGGCGAUUCAGCAUGUUGGAGAGCAAGGACAACCGUACCAAGAGGUGGUUUUUCCCUAACCAAGGACAAGAUAUGGUAGUUCCUCUCAAUAUGUUUCGCCUUCGCUCUCACCAGCUUUGCAUCGCCAUCUUCAGAAGUCACAGCUUUAGGACUGGUGGAAAUCGGGCCUGCAGCAGGUCACUGUUAACAUUUUUCUAGGAAGGCCAAUGUUAACUUCAAAUACCAGGAAUUUGUUGCAAUGUUUGCUUGAUAUGGAACGUUUGCAUGAUAAAGACACAACUGUAAUGACAAAGGGAUGUAGAAGAAAUUACUGGGGAAUGUCGCUGAUGUUGGAGAGCGAAGACAAUUCGUUGAUCCAGCAUGUGGCAGAGCGAGGACAACCGUUUCAGCUGAGUUGAUAAAGGCAGCUGAUUCUUCUGCUGGCCUGAGCGUGCGAGACCUCUUGUGGUCGGCUGUUGGCUCUUCCACAGGACUGGUAAAACAUUCACCCAUCUGUAUAAGCCUAGGACUUCUCCUAGGAGUGUCGGUAUGGUAGUUCUUAUGACAUUUUGCAUUCACACUCACUGACUUUGCGUCGCCACCUUCAGAAGUCUGAGCUUUCGGAGUGGUGGAAGUCAGGCCUACAACAGGUCAACGUUAACAUUUUUCAGGAAGGCCACUGCUAAACUUCUCAAAUACUAGAAAUUUGUUGCAGUGUUUGCUUGAUAUGGAUUGUUUGCAUGAUAAACACACAACUGUAGUGACAAAGGGGUAGAGAAGAACUUACUGAGGAGUGUCGUUGAUGUUGGAGAGCAAAAACAACUCGUUGAUCCAACAUGUGUCAUAGUGAGGACAGCCGUUUCAGCUGGGUCGGUAGAGGCAGCUGAUUCUUCUGCUGGCCCGAGCGUGUGAGACCUCUUGUGGUCGGCUGCUGGCUCUUCCACAGGACCGAUACAACAUUCACCCAUCUGUAUAAGCCUAGGACUUCUCCUAGGAGUGUCGGUAUGGUAGUUCUUCUUACGAUAUUUCCUUUUCACACUCACUGACUUGGCGGUUGCUUCCAAAGCAUGUCCGGACUCAGUAGUCUCUUGCCUUCCUUCAGUUGCUGCAACAGACACAGCAUGCACAUCUUGAGUUCCUUCACUAGCUGCAAGGAGAGGUGCUUCCUCCAUAAUCAUGGACGAUGCGGUAGCUUCCAAAGCAUGUACGGGCUCAGAAGCCUCUUGCCUUCCUUCACUAGCUGCAACAAACAUAGCCUGCCUAUCUUGACUUCCUUCACUGGCUGCAACAAACACGGCCUGCUCAUUCUGACUUCCUUCACCAGCUGCAACAAACACGGCCUGCACCCCUCGGCUUCCUUCACCAGCUAGGACAAACACAUCCUGCUUAUCAAGCGACGCUGCCCGGUGCUGAGUUGCAAUUAGAACCUCCUGAACAGUCUCGUCAUCGCUGNNNNNNNNNNGUGGGACCCCAUAGUCAGUCCGACGUGGCGGGUAUGCCCGGGAGCCCCCACAUUCGCACCAUAUUUGGGUUGGAUAUGCGGGUGUCGGUCAGCCCGCGCGUUUGAGGCCCGUUUUAGGCGUCUGCCUGGGUCAAAAUUUCGUGAUCGGGCAGUGACCGGACGGCCCGCUCGGAUGGGAUGUAUGAGGCGGGUUUGAGAGUUCCGGGUUUAGAUGCUCUAAGCCGAUUGAGAUUUUUCCUGUAUAAAAGCCGGUUAUGUGUUAAACUUUUUUAUAUAUAAAUGGCAAGGCCCCAAAUGUUAUACAAGAGUGUAUGUUACAGUCAAAAGUUUGUAGGGAGUUAAUCCUGCAUUAAUUGUUAGCUUUUCUAAUGGAGCAAAUGAUUUUUUUUUUAAUUUCCAAAUCUCUCUCUCUAUUGCCCAUCUAUAGUUUGUUAAAUACUAGAACAUCAUCUUUCAAAAAAAGAAAGGGUUAUGCGCCGUCGCAAACUAUUGCUUCCUAUCUUCCCGUUUUUGUCAGAUGCAUAUCUUCAAGCUGGCCGUGGCAUGUCUGCAAUUUUCUCUCCAUAUCUAGCAUUAGAUCGACAAAUAAUUUGAAAUUCAAGUCUUUGAAAAAUAAAACGGAGUAAAAAAAAUGUCAUGCCCCAAAAGGUUGUAUUCUGAACCGCAGCAAGAACACUUUGUCAUGCAUAACAUUACCAGCUGUGCAGGUCAGCAAGAACGCCUGUAAAUUCAUCUGCGGACAGAACUAAACUAUCGCUUCAGCCUUCAUCUACCAAAGCCACACACCUUUUUUGCAAUAUUGAUAAUCAAAAUGCAGUUGCUCUAACAAAUCUGGAUCUAUUGUUGGUUUGGUUACAUCUCAGCUUGGAGCCAGGAUUAACUCCUACAAAUUUUUCUUAAGCUCCCAGAAAACAGCAGCUGCGCGCCAUUUCCAAGCUCACCAAAAUACCACCUAAUUAAUGAUGUGCUUGACGAAACAAGUCCAAAAAUCACCCACAGUUUACAUCCUAGACGAAUUUGAGAUGGCGCAACGCGAGCUCAGAUCGAUCCCACUACAGAUGCAAUAAGAGUGGUUACACAUGAGAGGAACUACAGCAACAAGAGUUAGAAAGAUUCAGUCAACUAGAGUUAGUUUGCAGGGUCGGUAGUUCUUCCUACGACAUUUCACCUUCCCGGUCACCAGCUUUGCAUCACCACCUUGUGAG
rnacentral:lncRNA from 1 species